CUACGGGUUGCAGCAGUGAGGAAUAUUGCACAAUGGGGGGAACCCUGAUGCAGCAACGCCGCGUGGAGGAUGACGCAUUUCGGUGUGUAAACUCCUUUUAUAUGUCAAGAAAAUGACGGUAGCAUAUGAAUAAGCGCCGGCUAACUCCGUGCCAGCAGCCGCGGUAAUACGGAGGGCGCAAGCGUUACUCGGAAUCACUGAGCGUAAAGGACGCGUAGGCGGGUUGAAAAGUCAGGUGUGAAAGCCUACAGCUUAACUGUAGAACUGCACUUGAAACUCUCAACCUAGAGUAUGGGAGGGGCAGAUGGAAUUAGUGGUGUAGGGGUAAAAUCCGUAGAUAUCACUAGGAAUACCUAAAGCGAAGGCGAUCUGCUGGAACAUUACUGACGCUAAGGCGUGAAAGCGUGGGGAGCAAACAGGAUUAGAUACCCGUGUAGUC
rnacentral:rRNA from 1 species